rnacentral:ncRNA from 1 species
AACUAAGGUAGAGGCGCAAAGUUUAAAAGUAAAACUGUGGAGAUAAGCACUAUGAAACGGUUCGAAAGGAAAUUUUGCCGAAGUGUACAGCUAAUGCUUUAAUGCUGUAGCACUGGGCUUGUAUAGAAUAUGUACAAGACUGUCACAAAGUGUAAUUGUGGAGAGCUAUCAUUGUU